rnacentral:lncRNA from 1 species
CCAUCCUCACUUCACAGCCAUCCUCAUCCUCACAGCCAUCCUCACUUCACAGCCAUCCUCACUUCACAGCCAUCCUCAUCCUCACAGCCAUCCUCACCUUCACAGCCAUCCUCAUCCUCACAGCCAUCCUCACUUCACAACCAUCCUCAUCCUCACAGCCAUCCUCAUCCUCACAGCCAUCCUCACCUUACAGCCAUCCUCAUCUUCACAGGCAUCCUCAUCUUCAUGGCCAUCCUCACUUCACAGCCGUCCUCAUCAUCACAGCCAUCCUCAUCGUCAGAGCCAUCCUCAUCCUCACAGCCAUCCUCAUCUUCACAGCCAUCCUCAUCUUCACAGCCAUCCUCAUCUUCACAGUUACCCCCAGAGGUCCCCAUCUUUGGGGGUCACUGUUCCUGGGUGUCCCCAUCUCUGAGUUUCCCCAUCCCUGGGGGUCCCUGUGUCUGGUAGCCCCCACCUCUCGGGGUCUGCAUCCCUGGGGGUUCUUAUCUCUCUUGGUCCCCAUCCCUGGGGGUCUCUAUCUCUGGGGUUCGAUCUCUGAGUCUCCCCAUCCCUGGGGGUCUCCACCUCCAGGAGUCCCCAUCUCUGGGGGUCCCUGUCCCUCGGUAUCCCCAUCUCUGUUGAUCCCCAUCCCUGGGGGUCCCAGUUCCUGGGGGUUCCAUCUCUGAGUCUCCCCAUCUCUGGGGGUCCCUGUCCCUGGGUGUCCCCAUCUCUGAGUCUCCCCAUCCCUGGGGGUCUCCAACACCCCAGGCUCCCCAUCUCUGAAGAUCCCCAUCCCUGGGGGUCCCAUCCCUGUUGAUCCCCAUUUCUGGGGGUCCCUGCCCCUGGGUAUCCCCAUCUCUGGGGGUCUCCAUCCCUGUGGGUCCCCAUCUAUUGUGGUCUACAUCUCUGGCUCCCCAUCCCUGGGGGUCUCUGUCCCUGGGGGUCCCCAAAUCCCCAUUUCUAGGGGUCCCAUCCCUGCUAUCCCCAGCUCUGUUCAUCCCCAUCCCUGUUGGUCCCCCAUCCCUGGGGGUCCCCGUCUCUGCAGC